rfam:Salmo salar isolate Sally breed double haploid chromosome ssa19, whole genome shotgun sequence.
UGCAGACAUGACUGUAAGUCACUUUGGAUAAAAGUGUCUGUUAAAUGGCGUAUA